UACGAAGGGGGCUAGCGUUGUUCGGAUUUACUGGGCGUAAAGCGCACGUAGGCGGCUUUGCAAGUUAGAGGUGAAAGCCCCGGGGCUCAACUCCGGAAUUGCCUUUAAAAACUGCAUCGCUAGAAUUGUGGAGAGGUAAGUGGAAUUCCGAGUGUAGAGGUGAAAUUCGUAGAUAUUCGGAAGAACACCAGUGGCGAAGGCGACUUACUGGACACAUAUUGACGCUGAGGUGCGAAAGCGUGGGGAGCAAACAGG
rnacentral:rRNA from 1 species